rnacentral:rRNA from 1 species
CAAACCAAAGCUGGCGACCGGCGCACGGGUGAGUAACACGUAUCCAACCUGCCUCAUACCCGGGGAUAGCCUUUCGAAAGAAAGAUUAAUAUCCGAUAGCAUAUAUUUCCCGCAUGGGUUUUAUAUUAAAGAAAUUCGGUAUGAGAUGGGGAUGCGUUCCAUUAGUUUGUUGGGGGGGUAACGGCCCACCAAGACUACGAUGGAUAGGGGUUCUGAGAGGAAGGUCCCCCACAUUGGAACUGAGACACGGUCCAA